rnacentral:rRNA from 1 species
GAUUAGAUACCCUGGUAGUCCACGCCGUAAACGAUGUCGACUUGGAGGUUGUGCCCUUGAGGCGUGGCUUCCGGAGCUAACGCGUUAAGUCGACCGCCUGGGGAGUACGGCCGCAAGGUUAAAACUCAAAUGAAUUGACGGGGGCCCGCACAAGCGGUGGAGCAUGUGGUUUAAUUCGAUGCAACGCGAAGAACCUUACCUGGUCUUGACAUCCACGGAAGUUUUCAGAGAUGAGAAUGUGCCUUCGGGAACCGUGAGACAGGUGCUGCAUGGCUGUCGUCAGCUCGUGUUGUGAAAUGUUGGGUUAAGUCCCGCAACGAGCGCAACCCUUAUCCUUUGUUGCCAGCGGUCCGGCCGGGAACUCAAAGGAGACUGCCAGUGAUAAACUGGAGGAAGGUGGGGAUGACGUCAAGUCAUCAUGGCCCUUACGACCAGGGCUACACACGUGCUACAAUGGCGCAUACAAAGAGAAGCGACCUCGCGAGAGCAAGCGGACCUCAUAAAGUGCGUCGUAGUCCGGAUUGGAGUCUGCAACUCGACUCCAUGAAGUCGGAAUCGCUAGUAAUCGUGGAUCAGAAUGCCACGGUGAAUACGUUCCCGGGCCUUGUACACACCGCCCGUCACACCAUGGGAGUGGGUUGCAAAAGAAGUAGGUAGCUUAACCUUCGGGAGGGCGCUUACCACUUUGUGAUUCAUGACUGGGGUGAAGUCGUAACAAGGUAACCGUAGGGGAACCUGCGGUUGGAUCAC